rnacentral:lncRNA from 1 species
AGAGUUUCCUUUCCAGCCAGGACCUCUCAGAUCAGCAGCUGCUCAGCUACCUCCAGGGCCUGGUGAAGGAACUCUGACAUUGCAAGUGCAAUUCAAAGUGCCAAUACAUGACAUGUCCUUGGUGAAAAAGAAGCAGCAGCAUCUAUCCAGGAGAUUGCUGAGCUGCAGAAGAGAAGCACCGAGCUGGAGCAGCUCUCUGACAGCCGGGACCAAAUCCACUUUCUACAGGUCAGUAGUCACUUCUUCCCAUCCACAGAGCUCUGAGCUGCAAAUGCAGUGUUGGAAACACUCGGCACUCAACCUAAUUUUCUUAUGCCAGACACGUCAUUGGCACAGUUACGAAUCUGGAGGUCCAGAUCUUUGUACGCGUCUGUGCAAAUGUUGCUGGAAUGGUACUGGCCCCUGCCCGACUGUGAUCUCUCUCUCCUUCACGUCAACAACUUGUCCAGUUACAGCCGUGGUGUUAGGUAGAAAUCUGCAGCUAAGGGUAGGAAACUUCCCGGGAAAAAUCAGAUUGCCGUUGGACCUGCAAGUGGCACUCUUCCCUGCCUACCAGUGAGCCAGUGAACCAGUUCUCCAGGGGACCGGGGCUGCUGUGCUACAGGACAUGCAUGAGAUCCCUUUAUUAAUCAUAUACCAUGAUUGCAUUAGGAAUUUGUCUUUUCACAUACCCCCGCUUGCUCUCCACCCAGACAGAGAGAGAAGCUUGGGGUCAGAGCACAGGGUCAGCCAUUUAUACAGCACCCCUGGAGCAAUUGGGGUGAAGGGCCUUACUCAGGGGCCCAACAGAGUAGGAGUCCUCUGCCGGCUGCGGGAUUCGAACCGGCAACCUUCCAGCCACAGGCGCAGAUCCUUUGCCACAGAGCCACUGUACCGCCGUUGUUUCCUUCGGGCGAAACAUUAAACCAAGGUCAUGACUACUUGGCUUUGAGAGAUCCCCAUGGUGUUAUUCGAAGGAGCAGAGGUAUUAGUAUACACACACA